AACUCGAAGCUCUGACUCGAGUGGAGUUUAUUCUGACGUCUUCUUGUGUGAGUUACAAGGUUUUGGGAGUUUUGGGAGCAUCUAGGCAACUCCUCGAGGCCAUUAACUUAGUUUUAAAGUGGAGCCGAUGAGGAAACUCACGGUUUUGGGACGUUGAGUUUAGGUUUGAAGCUUUCGAGGCUUUUUCAACCCUUUUCCAAGUUCUUUUUGGACUCUCAAGAGAUACAAUCUUAUUUUCCUCGUCAUGGGCUUCAAUUCCAUAUAAAUUUCGUUGAAAAUGGUUAAGAAUUGACAAAAGUUACAGAGUUUUGAAAUUUUUUCCAAAAACCGGGGAACCAGACGGCGGAGGACUACCAGAGAAGAAGAUCGAAUAUUCCGUCAAAGUUGACGGAAUAUUUUGAUGCCGUCAAGUAACACCGUUAACUGACGCCGUUAUCGUUAGCGAAAUAUUCCGUCAAGUCUAACAGAAUAUUCCCUAGGUCUGUCAGCUUCUGACCUGCAUGGGCAAGCGUGUAGUCGUGGGCUAGGUGGUGUGAGGGCUCGUUCGGCCUCCGGCCAACGUGUGGUUGACGUGUACGGGUCCGUGACUUCGUGUAAAACAUUUUCGUAUAUUUAAACCCUCCGUUUGAGCAAACUAUGGGUGUUUUUCCUAGCCUUUUUGUUUAUGUCCUAAUUAAUUAAUUAGUUUAGUUAUUUCCCACGUAGGUGAGACUUAUCCCGAGAACGUACGAGGUCAAGAAAGGCUAGGAGGCUACGAUCAAUUAAUGUAUCAGUGAUUGGGCAUUUGUUUUCGUGUGUGUGUAUAUAUAUAUAUAUAAUUUUAUAGUUUCCACAAAUGCUUUUGGAUUGAUUUAUGCCUAUCAUGCCAUCUUUUAUUUAAUUUUAGAAAUGUUAUUUUGUGGUUGAAAUUUAUAUGUUGUCAUGGCAUGUUCAUAUGCAUUUUACCUGCUCAUCAUACAUUGCUACACUCGGUGUUAGUGCUCACCUAGGGCCAGAGACAGGGUCAGUCUUUCACAUGUAUGUUCACAUCUGCAUUGCACGCUCGCCUUGGAUCCAAGUAGGUGCCAGUCCUGUCGUACAGGUUGCAAUAGGCAACUCCGACUCGUAUGUGACCGCCAAUAGUGUUAGUUUUCACGUGAUUAUAGCACUAGAGCGUAUAUUAUGAUUACACCCAGUCCUGCUCAUGUCAGAAAUCCUCUGCAUGAACUCGUGUGUCAGCAUAGAUUAAUGAGCACCUGAUUUUAUUAUGCUACUAUUGCGAUAUUGUGAUUUGGCGUAUCUCUAGAUUUAUUGCUGAUUUGCAUUUGAUUUCAUAUUUAUACGUAGUAUGAUUUUCUGGAAACUAUACAUGUUUUACGGCGAGGGGUUAGUAUGUUCAGAAAAUAAAUGUGUUUUAUAAACCUUUGUUUUUGCCCACUUACCCUUCUAUUUUUCGCCCCUUCAGGUCCUAGUUAGUUGAUUUACUCUGUGGCUUAAGAGGAAUAUCUGGCGAUUUUGACAUACCUCUAAAUAAAUGUAGGAACUUUUCCUGUUGUGUAAUAAGUACUUUAUCUAGUUUCAACUGCACACUUUUAGGUCAUCUAUACUCUGAACACUAAUGUUUUAUGGGUUAUUCCCACUACUGCGCACUUGCUACAUUAGAUUAAAUUUAGUUUAAUUUAUCCAUAUUUUUAUGCUUCACUUCCCUUUUUGGUUACGUCAUAUUCGGGUGACGACCAGCAUGUUUUGACUAUGGUCCGGGUAUGUCAUACUUGAUACAUUUAGAUGAUUAAACGACCAUCGAUUCGAAUAUUUUUUGUAAGAAUAAUCUUAAAAAAAAUAAAAAAUUUGAACGAACAUUUUUACUAUAAAAAUACAUCAUUUAUAAGUAAAUGAAUUAGCUCAUUCACCACCCAAGAGGAAAAUGCAAGUGUUAUUCAUAAGAAUAUAUUUCUUCUUAACACGAUCGAAAUUGGAUCCUCUUCUGAGCAAAUGAUGGGGAUUUUCAUAAUCACACAACACGGGCUGUUGGAUUUUGAACCAACGACCAUUUGCUCAAAAGAAGAUCCAAUUCCAACACGAUAAUGGUGAGUAUUGUCGGGGGAUGAGCGCAUGACCAAUUAAUUGUUAACAAGAUAUGCAUAUGAUAAUUACUAACUAGUCUUGUUUGAGAAAUGCCAUGUGAAUUUGAAAGAGAAAUAAGGCCAAAGAAUUACGUACCGGACCACUAGGUACUAGUGUCCUAACAACUCAAGCAUCAUUACGUCGUACUAUCAUUUAAAGGGAGUGUUAUCUAUAUACAUUAUUUUACUUCUCACAUGUCGUUGUUAAUUUAUAUUCUUUAAUCUUCUUUAAUUUAUUGAGGAUAAAAAUUAAAAAAAAAGUAAAAAAUAAAAAUAAAUGUGUAAAAAGUAAACUGUCGAUUUGCCCCCUGAACUAUCACCCAACUUUCGAUUUGCCCCCUGAACUUUUUAAUUGGAAAAUUAAGGACUUAAACUAAUUUUUUUGGCCGAUUUGCCCCCUGCUGUUAAUUUUUCAUUCAUUCCAUCCAAAUUUCUGUUAAAUGGAAGCAUAUGCACAACAUGUGUGGGUAGUUCGGUCACUUCAUUCUUUAAAAUAAUUGAAAACCUUAGAUUUCUAAAAUAUAAACCUAUGCAAAUAUGUGUGAUUCUAUAGCUUUUCUGUCUGAAGGUCUAGUGAAAUGACGCUUUUGUCCAAAAAUGAGAGUUACGUGGUUUGCACAUGAUAAGAGUUAACGUUAAUUUGGAUGAAAUUUAUGAAAAACUAACGGUAGGGGGGAAAUCGGCCAAAAAAAUUAGUUUAAGUCCUUAAUUUUUCAAUUAAAAAGUUCAGGGGGCAAAUCAAAAGUUGGGUGAUAGUUCAGGGGGCAAAUCGACAGUUUACUCAUGUGUAAAUAACACAUCUCUUUUAAGAGACCGCCAAAGUAACUUUCUCUAGUUUCCAAAAAAUAAAAAAAAAUAACUUUCUCUUCACGUGUUAAUUGCUUGCUUUGUUCAACCUACCGCACUCGUAGCUAGAUCCAAAGAUAUGAACUAUGUUCAAUAAUGAUGAAAGCCAUACCACAUGCAUACCACAGUCGUAGCUAGCUAGAUCCAAAGACAUUUACUGUGAAUGUCAUAUAAAGAUGAAAGCUACAAUACUAAAUAAUUGAUCCUCGCAUGAUUCUUUUUCUGGGGAUUCCGAAAAUCGUGUAAUUAUGUUCGUUUAUCGUACAUCAUGCAGUUAAAAAUUAUUUUAAAUUUUAAAUUUUUAAUUAAAUAUAAAUAGUACCUAACGAAAAUUGACUACAUGAUGUACGAUAAACGAACAUGAUUACACGAUCCCCUGGAUUCCUGGAUCCUUUCCCCUUUGGAAGUACUUGUGGCGUGUUUAUUGUAAUCAGAAUUAAAAUAAGGAGUUGAAUUCCGAUUACGAAGUAUUGAAAUGGAAAGUUUACCAAUCUUGGGGAAUCAAAAGAAUUGUGGGGUCCACACGAAAUAAGGAAGCAACUCCACCCUUAAAAAAUGAGUUGGCCCAAAGUCUAUUUAAUCCACCAAAAUAAAUAGUAAUUAACUGCAAUAAAUAGUAAUUAACCAAGUGCAUCUCUAGCCCUAAAACAAAAUAGCCUAGUCCAUUUUAUUAAAAUAUUAUUAAUUUUUAUUAAAAAAAUAAUUUUAUUUUUAAUUUCUGACAUUUUUAAAAUUAAAAAAAAUUAUUAAUUUCGAACAUUUUAUUUAUUAAUUUAUUUUUUUAAGUUUUUUUGUUGAAAAAUCUGGAUCGUUGAUCUGAAAAUCGAGCGGUCCAGAUUAUGCCACGUCACUAGUGGUUAGGUUUGAAUUUCAAAUUUGUUUUACAGUUGGAAAUCCAACGACCGAGGCUUAGCUACGUAGCCCAUGUCCUGCACCCCUUUAGUGUGUCUGCAGUGCGAGCUUGACGUGUCGGGGGUGCGUGCCCAUGCACUUGACGCAAAAAAAAUUUGUGUUGUCCGUUGACGUCAUGCUGGCGUCAGCAUGACACUAGAUAGGCCAGUUCCUACCUCAGCCCAUUUUGGGCCCGCCUAUAAACUGGCUUGGAUUUUGGGUUGCCCUAUUUUUAGGGGUGGAGAGAUUUUUUUGGGUGCCAGCCUAAAAGAUAGGGCUGAACUUGCUCUUACAAAUGGUAAAAAGGAUCAUCGCCGAUCGUGGUCGUUCAUCGUAUAUUGUGCGGUCAGUUUUCAUUAGGUACUAUUUAUUUUAAAUUUUAAAUUUCAAAUGAUUUAUGACCGUAUGAUAUACGAUAAAUGGUCACGAUCACGAAAUUCUCAGGAAAAUGAUCCAGCGAGGAUCAUUUUCCAAAUUUUUAUUGCCCACACACAAAAAAUGUCGAGUGAACCCAUAGGGCAUUAAAUAUGACAACAAUCUCGUCAACGAGCUCCUAGCCGAAUUUGGAUCCUCGUCGGAUCCCCUCCCUGGGGAUCCUAGGGAUCAACAAACACAAACUGUUGAUAAAAAAUCGUGCGGUCCUAAUUAAAUGCUUUUUAUAUUUUCAAAAGUAAAGCAGGAUCGUUUUGUGUCAAAAAUAUAAAAGAGGAAAAAAUUGUGGCCGCACGAUUUUUUAUCAACAAUCCGUGUUCGUUGAUCUCUAGGAUCCCCAGAGAGGGAUCCAACAAGGAUCCAAAUCCCUCCUACCAAUCAACCCUUCAUCCUAGGGAGGGGAUCCAGCGAGGAUCCAAAUCCCUCCUAGCCAAUCAACCCUUCUCUCUCUCUCUCUCUCUCUCUCUCUCUCUCUCUCUCUCUCUCUCUCUCUCUCUCUCUCUCUCUCUCUCUCUCUCUCUCUCUCUCUCUCCUUAUUAUCUCUAUAAAUGCAUGAACUCUGAAAGCCAUUCUAGCAAAUUAUAAGCUUUCAAAGAAAGUCUAGCAUUACAAAGCACACAUCAUCCAACCCUUAAGGGAGAUGAUGACAUCUCAGCUGCAGAAACCCAACUAUGCUCCAUCCUUCCCUCUCUUACCAAAAUCCUCUAUUAACCCUAAUCAUCUGAUUAAGCAUGGUAGCCCCUCCCUGAUCAGCAUCCUUCCGCGCCACCAUGUCCAUCAAAAUCGUAAUAAGAAAAACUCCUCAUCCUUGGUGAUCCGUGCCACUUCUAGUGAUCUCAAAUCAUCACCCGUAUCAGUGUCCACGGUUACUUCUACGGAAAAUAACGCGUUUACGGUAAAGGCUUUGGUGACGGUGACAGUAACAGGAGGGUUACUCUCCAGCAUAGGCUUGACUCGGCCCCUCGAUGACUUAACCGACUUGCUCGGAAAAACUUUGCUUUUGGAGCUUGUUAGCGCCGAGCUUGACCCCAGUAAGCAAGCAGUACUAUAAGCAUACUAAAUAUAUAACUUUUUCCAUUAAACAGAACACACAAAGAUUAUCUUGCAGCCUCAGCCAGUAUGACCGUGGUUAAUAAUAUCUCAAAUUAUGUUAUCUUUAUUUCCACUAAUAUUUUUGGAGUUGAGAGUUCUUUUGUUUUUUUUCUUUUUUUUUGGUUUGAUACAAGUGAGAUCAGUUGGUUCUAGACUUCUAGUGUAUUUUUUGUUCAUUAUUCGUUUGGGUUUUUUUUUUUUUUUUUUUUUUUUUUUUUUUUUUUUUUUUUUUUACAAAAUAAUAAACGAUUAGCCCCAAGGUUAUUCAAAACAGCCUUUCUUUUUCCUUUAUAUAGAAACAAAUUGGAAAUCAACUCUAUCAGAAACCUGAUUCAAUGGAUAGAAAUGCCCUUUUCAAUCUGUACUACUCGAAUCCUUUAGAUAAUCGGAUUGGUUUCGAGAUCUACAUAUAAUAUAUAUAAAAAAAAGUUUGUAGUGCAAAAUAAAAUUUUUGAACUGUUAAUAAUAAUUUCUAUAUAUAAAGUCCCCUUCCUUUAAGGAAGAAGUUUAUUUAAAGGAUUCUUUGUAAGGCUGCCUCCAUAUCGUAUUUCAAAUUUCAAUAGUAAGUUUCUUUGACAAUAAUAAAAUUAAAAAAGAAAAAAGAGUACCCAGAUCUGAAACUAUUUAAUUGUUUUAUUAAGUUGUAGUCAUAUUAGUAUUUUUUUUUAACGUAUUCGUUAUUUUUUUCCCUAUAUUUUGAAUUUAUCUAAUUUUUUGCAAAAAUAAUCUCUAAAGUACUAAGAUACAUACGCUUUGAAUAUCUACCCUCUUCCUUCCCCGUUUCUCUCUCUUUCCCAUGCCCUCUCUUCCUUUCUUUCCAAAUCAACUCUCUCUCUAUGACUGAUAGCUGGGAGCGAUUUGCAAUCGUAUGGUGAGGGGCUUCAUUUCUUGACAAGGAUCUCUAAAAGUUUAAAAUCUCAUAGUUAUUCAUAUUGACGAUCCUUAUAUUUAGAUUUGGUAAAGGGAGAGAGGAAGAGAGAGGAAGAGAAAAGGAGAAAAAAAUUUGACCGCAGCAAGGAGAACAAGAGUUAUUGCCGGCGGGUGCAGUGGCGAUUUUGGUUAAUGUUGGCUAAUGAGUUCGUGCUUUUUUCUCCAUCUUCAGUUUUUGUUUUAAACUUUAAAAAUAGAGAUAUUUUAAAAAUGAAAAAUUAGUAUCCGGUCCUUAGUUUUUAAUGUUCAUUAACUGAGAUCUUAUUAGUUUUUAAAUUUUGAUCAAAGUUUCUUGCAUUAAUGUAUUAAUGAAUUACAUGUCAGUUACAUAAUUUUUUAAAAUAAAAAUUAGUAAUUGAUUUAGGGUUUUAAUACUCACGUCCUUAUUAAACUCCUAAUUAAUUUUCAUUUCAAAACAUUUCCAAAAUAUAAAAAAUAAAAUUAGAAUAAGUUUGUGCCCAUUAUUUUAGUUAUAAAAAAUUACAAUUUUUUAAUCUUAUAUGUACCCGUUCAUAUAAUUCUUCAACUUUUUCUAAUCUUAAAUGUACCAAUUCUUAAAUAUAUAUCAAUUUGUUAUAUGUAAAAUGUACCUUUUUUAGUAUAAAAUGUACCUAUUUUUUUUAAAUAUAUAAUUCAUUAAAUCUUUUUUCUAGUUCAUUUUUUAAACUUAAUAUGGAUACAUUUUAUUUCGUUGAUUUGAGAAUGUAUUCAUGUCAAGUUUAAUAGAAGAAAUUUAAUAAUGUCAUUAAGCUUAAUAUAUAUGUAUACUAGCAUUUGCCUACACAUUUUGUGUGUAUGAACACAUUUUUUUUAGAAAAUGAGAAGGAGAGAGGGAACGAGGGGGAGUGGGAGGGUUUUGUUUUCGGUUUUAAAUAUAUAUUGAAGGUAUUUUAACAUCAAAUGUAGGUGAGGUUUCAAUAAAAAAUAGUAAAAUUUGGACCUGUGAAAUUAUAUUAUUGCCCAUCAUUUUUUUUGUGUGAUAGAAGAUUAAUUUGUUUUUUCACCAUCUUUUAGUUGACAAAGAGAGUUUUAUUAAUUAGUAGAUAUAUAUACACACACAUAUAUAUAUAUAUAUAUUUUUUUUUUUUGAAAAAUGUACCCAUGUUUUGGUGCAAUAAUUUUUUGGUUAGUUUUGAUGAACAUACCCAUGUGUGUAUAUAUACAUACAAUAUAUUGGGAAGUAUAAUUUAUCUUUAUAUUCCAUAAAUUAUGAGUUUUAUUUAAAAUCUCAUUAAUAUAAAUAACUACAAAUUUUAUUUUUAAUUUAAAAAUAUAAUAACUUAUAUAGAAAUACAUUAUUAUAUUAAUGUCAGAGACUUUGAUAAAAAAUUGAAAACCACAAAGGUUUCAGUUAAAGAACAUUGAUAGUUAGGGAUUGUAUCUAAAGUCUCCUUUUUAGAAAUAACAGUAUAUGGGAGCUAGAGGAUUUGGGUUUUUGCAUUUUUUAUAAGUUAAAAUGGUGGAUAUAAGAUGGGUGGAGAAAUAAGUUAAAAUGGUGGGUCUAGAAACUCUAAAAAACUAAACUAUUUUAAUUAUUUUUUAAUAGUUAAUGUAGCUAUAGACCCAAUAAAAUAAUAAAAUAAAUAUUUAACACAUCCAUUGAAAAAAAAAAGAUUUAAUACUUGUAUUUAAUCUGUCACAUCAGCCAUAAAAUAAAAUUUUGACCUAUUUAUUUGACAUAUCCUUUAUAAAUGCUUUGAUUAUGCAAUAAGUUUUCUUUGCUAACAUGCAUAGCACGUGUGAUUUUACAAUUGUAUGAACAAAUAGCACUUUAAAUUUUAAAAAUAUUGAUUAAGGGCACGUUUGAAAGUGCAUUUAAAUGACUAAAAUGUUUUUGGUAAAAAUAUUUUUAAAAUUAAUUCUUAGUUAAAAAUCAAAUGAAUAUUGGAAAAGCACUUAAUACUUCUUGCAAGAAGUACAAAUCUGGUACUUUUUUCAAAAAGUACUUAAAGGGCUUUUGAAACUCAAAAUCAAUUUUACCAAAAAAACUUACAGUCAUUUUUUAAAAGCACUUCCAAACGAAUCCUAAGUUUGUUUAACUGUUUCUCUUAACAAAUAAUUAAUUUACUCACUACAUAUUUCUGAAUUGGGUUUUGUCGUAGAGACGGGGUUGGAGAAAGAAACAGUGAAGGGGUAUGGGCACAAAGCGAGCCACAAGGAUGACGAGGUGGUGUAUGAGGCUACUUUCACCAUCCCAGCAGGGUUUGGAGAGGUUGGAGCUGUUCAGGUAGAGAAUGAACACCACAAGGAGAUGUUCAUCAAGAGCAUCGACCUCAACGGCUUCCCAAACGGCACUGUUAAUGUUCCGUGUAAUACCUGGGCUCAUUCCAAAUUUGACAACCCAGAGAAGAGAAUUUUUUUCACUAACAAGGUCCUUUAUUUUAGAUCCUUAUACCUUUUCCUUGCUUUCUCAUUAUUAUUGUACAAACAUUUAUAUAUAUACAACUUCUUACCUGAUAGUUCAAUUUGCUAAAUAAAUGAACUGUCCGAAUUGGAAUGCUAGUGCUAUAUGUUAGCACUCCUCAUCCUGCGAGUUAGUUUAGCCUUUUGGGCUAUACUGUUGCAAUUUUGCAGUCCUGUUGAGAUUCAUGUCUUGUACAUGUCGUUGAUGUACUGUUGAUCGCUUUGUUAACUUCUGUCUUAAAAUUACCAUAUGUUUUGACUGGUUGGCUGACAUAGUGAAUUUCAUACAAUAUCAUUUGAAGCGGUAAUUUGUGUGAACAUGUAAUGAAACAGUCGUACCUACCAUCAGAGACACCGAGUGGGUUGAAGAAGCUAAGAGAAUCGGAGCUGCAGACUUUGCGAGGAAAUGGAGAGGGCCAAAGAAAAACAUCUGAUAGGAUCUACGAUUAUGACACUUACAAUGACAUUGGCGAUCCGGACAGCAAAGAUGAACUGGCUAGGCCUGUCCUUGGUGGCAAAGAUCACCCGUACCCGAGGCGCUGCAGAACUGGAAGACCACGCUCUAAAAAGGGUAAUUAUAUAACGAACUAAUUACAUACUAAUCCCUCAAUUGGUUGUAAAAGGUAGAAGUCAUGUCAUCUUCUUUCUUUCUAACUCGGAAUAUGAAGUCCUGUCACGAGUGAAAUGGGAAAAAGAGGGGUAGAAACCCUUAGCAUCCAAUUUUGCUCCCAUAAUUGGGCCAUAUGUGAAAAUAAAACCGUGUUCUAGACAUUGAAAACUAAACAUUUGUUUUAGUGCGUGUACCAUAACACGCAUGUAAAUUUGUGUUAUGUGCUUUUUGGAGUAGAAACUUAUGUAGUUCAAGAAGUUAAUGUUAACGACAAUGAUUCUUGGUCUGAACCAUUUGUUUGUACUAUGCCUAAUUGCUCGUGUGGGAAAUUGUCUGGCUGAGAAACUACGAGAGCAAUGCGAUUAUCGUGUCAUAUAUUUUCUACCAAUAUUGCAG
rnacentral:lncRNA from 1 species